CCUACGGGAGGCAGCAGUGAGGAAUAUUGGUCAAUGGCCGUAAGGCUGAACCAGCCAAGUAGCGUGAGGGAAGACUGCCCUAUGGGUUGUAAACCUCUUUUAUGAGGGGAUAACGGUGUCCACGUGUGGAUGUUUGCAGGUACCGCAUGAAUAAGGACUGGCUAAUUCCGUGCCAGCAGCCGCGGUAAUACGGAGGAUGCGAGCGUUAUUCGGAUUUAUUGGGUUUAAAGGGUGCGUAGGCGGGCAUUUCAGCCAGCGGUAAAAUGGCGGGGCUCAACCCCGGCCUGCCGUCGGAACUGGGGGCCUUGAGUGGGCGAGAAGUAUGCGGAAUGCGUGGUGUAGCGGUGAAAUGCAUAGAUAUCACGCAGAACCCCGAUUGCGAAGGCAGCAUACCGGCGCCCUACUGACGCUGAGGCACGAAAGUGCGGGUAUCGAACAGGAUUAGAUACCCUUGUAGUC
rnacentral:rRNA from 1 species